rnacentral:rRNA from 1 species
UACGAAGGGUGCUAGCGUUGUUCGGAAUUACUGGGCGUAAAGAGCGCGUAGGCGGUUAUACAAGUCAGGGGUGAAAUCCCGGAGCUUAACUCCGGAACUGCCUUUGAAACUGUAUAGCUGGAGUGUGUGAGGGGAUAGCGGAAUUCCUAAUGUAGAGGUGAAAUUCGUAGAUAUUAGGAGGAACACCGGUGGCGAAGGCGACGUCCUGGACCGGCAUUGACGCUGAGGCGCGAAAGCCAGGGGAGCAAACGGG